rnacentral:lncRNA from 1 species
CUUCAAGCAAAGUUCAGCAGCUGAGCAAAUGCACUUUCUUUCACUCUUCUGAGUAGACGGGAAAGGCUCAUGCCCUUUCAUUAGCAAUUUUCUUUUUCUAGUGACAGUUUUUAUUCUAUUCUGACAAAACCACACAUCAAGAUUACCCCUUUCAAUUUCACCCUCAAAGCAUCAGCUCCAGUGUUGCUCAUCGCCUGCCUCAUGUUGAAAGAAGGAGCUGUCUGAAGCUUUUGAGGCCUCCAACUGAUCCCAGGUUUAGGUUAUGGGUGCAAUUCCUUUGUGUGUCGGUCACGGACUAUUUCGAGGCUGCAGAAUGAUCCAGCAAUUGCACUUACGGUCAUAUAUCCUAAGGAAAUGAAGUCACCAUCUUGGACACAUACCUGCACUUUCAUGUCUAUUUCAGCAUUAUCUGGAAGAGUCAAGACAUGGAAACAACUUAAGUGUCUGUCGAUUGAAGAAUAAAUAAAGAAAAUAUGGUAUAUAUAUUUUUAAUGAGAUAUUAUUCAGUCAUAAAAAAGAAAAUUCUGC